rnacentral:rRNA from 1 species
CGGAUAAGAGGCUGAAACUCGCCUCUUUGAAGUCGGAAUCGCUAGUAAUCGCAGAUCAGCAUGUUGCGGUGAAUACGUUCCCGGGUCUUGUACACACCGCCCGUCAACCCAUGAGAGUCACCAACACCCGAAGUCCGCCUUGGCGGCCUAAGGUGGGGAGAUGAUUGGGGUUAAGUCGUAACAAGGUAAC